rnacentral:rRNA from 1 species
GAUGAACGCUAGCGGCAGGCCUAACACAUGCAAGUCGAGGGGCAGCACGGAAUGUAGCUUGCUACAUCUGGUGGCGACCGGCGCACGGGUGCGUAACGCGUAUGCAACCUACCUUGAACAGGGGGAUAAUUCGGAGAAAUCUGGUCUAAUACCCCAUAAUAUCGGGAUAGGCAUCUAUUCUGGUUAAAAACUCCGGUGGUUCAAGAUGGGCAUGCGUUGUAUUAGCUAGUUGGUGAGGUAACGGCUCACCAAGGCAACGAUACAUAGGGGGACUGAGAGGUUAACCCCCCACACUGGUACUGAGACACGGACCAGACUCCUACGGGAGGCAGCAGUAGGGAAUUUUCGGCAAUGGGGGGAACCCUGACCGAGCAACGCCGCGUGAAGGAAGAAGGUUUUCGGAUUGUAAACUUCUGUUAUAAAGGAAGAACGGUACAUGGAGGGAAUGCCAUGUAAGUGACGGUACUUUAUGAGAAAGCCACGGCUAACUACGUGCCAGCCGCCGCAGUAACAC